UCACGUUUGCGUCGUCGUUGAAAGCAUGGAGCGCAAGUUCCUUUUACUGUCUAUUGCAAGUUCACCCCCCACUUUCAAAUUCGUUUGUUGUGAUUUUUAACCGCCCGCCGUCAUUGCCUCGGAGGAGCAGGAACGAGCCUGUGUAAAAUAGCUCACUGAACGUUAUAAUGACCUGCCAGAGCACAUACUGUAUAGCGGUUGCGGCACAGACAGCGAUGGAACGCCAGAAACAACAACGGGUAUCUUUAAUGUCAUGGAUGAAAAGAAGGAUACUCUCCGUGAGGUUGAACCCCCCACUCUUAAAGUGAACUCUCAUUCCCAGUCAGAAGCCAGAGAUGUGCAGAAGUUGACAGUUGUCAGUGAUCAAUCAGUGUUAAUGAAAUCAAGGGUCUGUGUAUCCACCGAAGGACUGGAAAAGGU